AAUCCCACAAUAAUACAACUCCACCGCCUUUAAGUACCCUACCGCCAUCCGCCAUUAAACAUCAACAUACCACCUCCACUUUUCAUCCUCAACCAGCGACUUCAGAAGAAACGUUCAACGUUAUAUGGAUUAUAGACAUCUCGUUACAGAAGAAGCUGCGAGGGAAUCUCUCAUCGCCAUUUCUUACGGUGUUCUUGAAGAUAUCGAUUAUUUACCCGAGACCGAAAAUGCAAAUGGCAUAAAAGAGGUUAACGUGACCAAUGGACAAAUGAAAACCAUGGAAGAGUUGAGAUCGGAACUGAUAUCCAUCGCUUCUAUCGAACCAUCGACUAACUACAACUGUAACGGAUCAUCGACUCCUAGGGUUUGAAGGUUUAUAUAUUGUGGUACAUUCGAAUAUCUUCCUGAUUGUCACUCGACUUUCUAAUAAAAAAUUACUCUUUUUUUUACUGUUUUUCUUACUAUAAUGAAGAUUAUUGAAGUUAUGUUA